UACGUAGGGGGCGAGCGUUGUCCGGAUUUACUGGGCGUAAAACGCUUGUAGGUGGCCACGCCAAGUCGGAUGUGAAAUCUCCCGGCUUAACUGGGAGCGGUCAUUCGAUACUGGCGGGCUCGAGGCAGGUAGGGGGAAGCGGAAUUCCCGGUGUAGUGGUGGAAUGCGUAGAUAUCGGGAGGAACACCAGUGGCGAAGGCGGCUUCCUGGACCUGUUCUGACACUGAGGAGCGAAAGCGUGGGGAGCGAUCCGG
rnacentral:rRNA from 1 species